rnacentral:rRNA from 1 species
UACGAAGGGGGCUAGCGUUGUUCGGAAUUACUGGGCGUAAAGCGCACGUAGGCGGACAUUUAAGUUGGAGGUGAAAGCCUUGGGCUCAACCCAAGAAUUGCCUUUGAUACUGGAUGUCUCGAGACCGGGAGAGGUGAGUGGAAUUCCGAGUGUAGAGGUGAAAUUCGUAGAUAUUCGCAAGAACACCAGUGGCGAAGGCGGCUCACUGGCCCGGUACUGACGCUGAGGUGCGAAAGCGUGGGGAGCAAACAGG